GUAAGGCUCCCCACACCUCUCCACAAACUCAAAAAGUAAAGAAAGUGGAUUAAUAUAUACACCCAUACGUCCAUUCCUUUUCAAGGAAGAAGGACAGCUAUGAGUGAAACCGGUGCAAGAAAACUUGCAGUAAUGGUUAUAACGCUUAUCUUGCUUGAAGCAGCAGUCGCACAGGCUGAUACAGAUUGCAGUAGCAAAUGUGCGAGACAAUGCAGUCAUAGUCUCUUCCCCACUACUUGUCUCCAGGGUUGUUUCAAAAAAUGCAAACAUUCUUUCUCUGUUGCCCUCUUUGGCAUCGGCUGUACUUUUGGCUGCACAAAUUCAAAGUGCGCCCAUCUUGGCUCUGUGUGGCAGAUGUUGAUAAACUGGUUGGGUGCGUGGACUCAUGCUCCAAGAAAUGCAGCAGGAAUCCCUCUCCUUAGAAGUCCCAUAUGCACA